rnacentral:rRNA from 1 species
UACGGAGGGUGCAAGCGUUAUCCGGAUUCACUGGGUUUAAAGGGUGCGUAGGUGGGCUGGUAAGUCAGUGGUGAAAUCUCCAGGCUUAACUUGGAAACUGCCAUUGAUACUAUCAGUCUUGAAUACCGUGGAGGUCAGCGGAAUAUGUCAUGUAGCGGUGAAAUGCUUAGAUAUGACAUAGAACACCAAUUGCGAAGGCAGCUGGCUACACGAAUAUUGACACUGAUACACGAAAGCGUGGGGAUCAACAGGA